CUCUCUGUUUCUGUCCCUCUCCCUCUGUCCCUGUUUCUCUCUCCUCAUUUGCUGGGGUGCUACCAGCAGUGCUCACAGGGGUCCAGUCUUCUGGCAUCAGUACUGAGGAUGGAGGAACAGAGACCUGGAAAACAGCUGAGCCCUUAGUUACAGCCUCGAACCGUGCACUCUGCUAGCCUGAAGCCCCCGUCUGGAUGUCCUUUGCAGAUGAGCUUGGCACCCCCAGAGGCCAUGUGUGGAAGAUGGCACAACCACAAGAUGCAAGGGACCAGGAGUCCUGAAUAAGCACUUGGAGAAGAGCCACCUGCCAAUCCAUCCAUUUUUGGACUUCAUGGCUACAAGACACACUCAAGAGAUCCAACAAUGGUGAAAAUACUGCAUAUGGCAGAUGACAAUGGGAGAAACAUGACAAGUCAAGUCACAUUUGCUGAGUGUGGGCUGAGUGUGCCGGUCUCUUUCUUCCAUGAAUAUUUAUUGAGUACCUACUAGGUCACAUCGUGAGCAUGGUAGUUCCCGUCUUCACAGAGCUUACAGUCUGGUGGAAACUAUAUAUUAUACAAGGAAGUAGACAGUUACUGUACAGUAUGAUGAAUUAUUGAUAGAAAUGCAAGGCACCAUAAAUAUACAGAAGGGGGCUCCUAACUCAGGCUUCAGGGCUCCUGGAAUGCUUUUCAGAGGAAAUGAUCUCUCCCUUUAAGACUGGAAACAAAGGAAGAGUUAUCCAGGGUAAGGGGGCUUUGGAGGUGGGAAGCAUGUUCUAGGCAAAUGAGACAAGGAUCACCCUUGAAGAACAAGAAAGAGCCACAAGAGGCUUAGAAUAGCUGCAGCUUGGAGUUGAAGGAGGGGAAUGAUGACAGAUUGGGCUGGAAGGGCCAGAAGGGUCUAGAGCAGGGUUUCUUCACCCCAGCUGCAGCUUGGAGAAAAUACUGAUGCUGAAGUCACCUCCACCUCUGGUGGUUGAGAAGCUCCCCAGGUGAUUCAAAUGUGUAGUCAGUGUUGGAAGCACUGCUUAGACCAUGUGGGAUCUAAAAAGCCAAGCGAAAGACUUGGAAGUUUAUCCAGAAAGCCUCUGACGGUUUUAUGGAAGGAAGGGUUAUAAUCAGAUUUUUCUUCCUCUAGAUGCUGGGUGAAGAAGGGAAUGAGACAGAAAGACUGGGGUUAGAGAAGCUGGUUAAGGAGGCUGCUGUAGUGAUCCAGGUGGGAAAUGCACCCAGAGCUGUCAACAGGGAUGGCAAGAAGUGGACAAGUCCUAGGCCUGGUUGAUGAUGGGCUGUGAGGAAAGAUGUGGGAGACAUGGGUUCAUCCCCCAAACAUGCAGGCUGAAAUGACCAAGAAGUUUCCAGCUAGAGAUACAGACUUGUGAGUCGGUAGCAGAGAGCAACAAUGCACUCUCCCAGGAAGAGGGGUAAAUGGUGAGAAGAAAAGAGGAACUAGAACAGAGCCCCAGAGGAUCAGGGAGAGCUGUGCUCCAAAAGGACCAAGAAGAGCUGGUCAAAGAAGGAAGAGAAAAACCAGAAUCACACAUUGUCAGGAACAUAAAGAAUGGUGGCUAGUAAGAGUCAACAUGUGUAAGAGGAUCAAAUUCUGGGAGAUGUACUCACAGGUCACUGGUAACCUUGGCAGCGAAGAUGGGGUUGGUGCCUGGGUGGGGCUGAAGUGGUGGUAGAGCAGAUAUCAUAUAACAGGGGCAACUAUUCUUUAUCUAUUUGUUUGCUCAUUCAAUAAAUACUUCAUAUAUGAAGCACCUAAUGGCAGGGUGCUGUGUUCAGAGCUGUGGAUAAGAUGGCAACUCCUGAGGCCUUCACCCACUAAAAGGAGACAGAUAAUCUCACCCACAUCACAAAACAAUGAGAUAGAAAUGCUAGAAUGAGGCUGGGUGCAGUGACUCACGCCUGUAAUCCCAGCACUUUG